UACGUAGGGGGCAAGCGUUGUCCGGAUUUAUUGGGCGUAAAGAGCUCGUAGGCGGCUUGGCAAGUCGGGUGUGGAAACUUCAGGCUCAACCUGGAGAUUGCACUCGAUACUGCCAUGGCUAGAGUCCGGUAGGGGACCACGGAAUUCCUGGUGUAGCGGUGAAAUGCGCAGAUAUCUGGAGGAACACCGGUGGCGAAGGCGGCAUCCUGGACCGAUACUGACGCUGAGGAGCGAAAGCCAGGGGAGCAAACGGG
rnacentral:rRNA from 1 species